rnacentral:rRNA from 1 species
AUUGAACGCUGGCGGCAUGCCUUACACAUGCAAGUCGAACGGUAACAGGUCUUCGGAUGCUGACGAGUGGCGAACGGGUGAGUAAUACAUCGGAACGUGCCUAGUAGUGGGGGAUAACUACUCGAAAGAGUGGCUAAUACCGCAUGAGAUCUACGGAUGAAAGCAGGGGAUCGCAAGACCUUGUGCUACUAUAGCGGCCGAUGGCAGAUUAGGUAGUUGGUGGGAUGAAAGCUUACCAAGCCGACGAUCUGUAGCUGGUCUGAGAGGACGAUCAGCCACACUGGGACUGAGACACGGCCCAGACUCCUACGGGAGGCAGCAGUGGGGAAUUUUGGACAAUGGGCGAAAGCCUGAUCCAGCAAUGCCGCGUGCAGGAUGAAGGCCUUCGGGUUGUAAACUGCUUUUGUACGGAACGAAAAGCCCCGGGUUAAUACCCUGGGGUCAUGACGGUACCGUAAGAAUAAGCGCCGGCUAACUACGUGCCAGCAGCCGCGGUAA